AAGAUUGUGAGUCGAUGGACAGGAAUUCCCGUCGCCACCCUUGAUGAAGAGGAGAAGGAUAAGUUGAUCCACCUUGCUAACAGGUUGCAUGAGCGAGUCGUUGGCCAGGAUGAAGCGGUCAAUUUGGUUGCACAAGCAGUGUUACGUGCCAGAGCCGGUCUUGAUCAAUCUGCCCAACCGAUAGGAUCUUUCCUCUUUCUAGGACCGACAGGUGUGGGAAAGACCGAGCUCGCAAAAGCUCUUGCUGAGCAACUAUUCAAUACGGAGAAGAUGUUGGUUCGCUUUGACAUGUCUGAGUAUGUUAAUAGUGGAUCUGUGUUGCGCCUCAUUGGAGCACCUCCGAGAUGGUGGGCAACUACUGAGAAAAUCAGGACGCGCCCGUACAGUGUCAUACUCUUUGAUGAGGUGGAGAAGGCUGAUCCGUCGGUGUUUAAUGUUUUUCUCCAGCUCCUUGAUGAUGGUAUGUUGACUGAUGGCAAGGGACAGACCGUGGAUUUCAAGAAUACCAUCAUCAUUAUGACAUCAAAUAUGGGAGCAGAGCACCUAACAGCAGGAAUGAAUGGAGAAACAACAAUGGAAGAAGCACGCAGUCUUGUUAUGGAGCAGGUUCAAAAAUGCUUCAAGCCCGAGCUUCUCAACAGAUUGAGUGAGGUGGUGAUAUUUGAACCUCUUUCGCAUGACAAACUAAAGGAGGUAGUCAAAAUCGAGAUGAAGAUUAUUAUUGCCAAUGUGGCUAACAAGGGCAUCUCUCUAGUUGCAAGUGAUGAUGCGCUAGGUGUCAUUCUAUCAGAAUCAUACAACCCAAUGUAUGGUGCAAGGCCCAUAAGGAGGUGGGUGCACAAGAAUGUCAUGACAAAGCUCUCGGAGUUGUUGGUCAAAGGGGAAGUCGAUGAGGGCACUAUGGUUUCCGUUGAUUCUACGACCGAUAAGAAGGGGCUGGAAUAUCAAGUGGUGAAGAAGUUGAUAGAGGAACAGGGCAAGAAGCCAGUGAUGGAGGUUCCUAGCGACUCCUACGAUAGUCACGAUGUGGUCGAGGUCUUUCCCGUGGCGAAGAAGGAAAAGGUGGUGGACUUUUAG
rnacentral:rRNA from 1 species